GAUUGCCUUCAUUGGCUUAAAACUAUAUCCACAUACACCUGUGAACUGUUCUACUACUUGACGCAAGUCGAGUAUUUUUACAAACAAUGUGUAAUGAACGUCGUUUUAUUAUAACAAAAUAAAACUUUCAACAACGGAUCUCUUGGCUCU
rnacentral:misc_RNA from 1 species